GGCUCAGUGGUCUAGUGGUAUGAUUCGUGCUUCGGGAAAUAAACCAUCCCAUCGCUUGGAAACGAGUGAUCAAAGCUUGUGCGAGGUCUCGGGUUCAAUCCCCGACUCAGACC